UUCGGUGGUUUACCACUGUAAUGAGGGGGAUUUCGGUCCCUUCUCUCCUUCCUUGUCUUUUGCGUACCCAAGUUUCCUUGGUAGGCUUGCCUGCCAAUUGGACAACCUAUAACCUUUUUAAUUUUAAAUCAGCGUCUGAAAACUAUAAUAAUUACAACUUUCAACAACGGAUCUCUUGGUUCU
rnacentral:misc_RNA from 1 species